CAAUAGCGUAUAUUUAAGUUGUUGCAGUUAAAAAGCUCGUAGUUGGAUUUCGGGUGGGACGCAGCGGUCUCGCAUUGCGUUUGUACUGCUGCAGCCCUCCUUCUUGCCGGGGGCGGCCUCUCGGACUUCACUGUCUGGGGGUCAGAAUCUGCGAUGUUACUUUGAGUAAAUUAGAGUGUUCAAAGCAAGCUUACGCUCUGAAUAUAAUAGCAUGGGAUAACACGACAGGACUCUGGCCUAUCGUGUUGGUCUAUAGGACCAGAGUAAUGAUUAAGAGGGACAGUCGGGGGCAUUCGUAUUCCGUUGUCAGAGGUGAAAUUCUUGGAUUUACGGAAGACGAACAUCUGCGAAAGCAUUUGCCAAGGAUGUUUUCAUUGA
rnacentral:rRNA from 1 species